UACGUAGGGUGCGAGCGUUUGUCCGGAAUUACUGGGCGUAAAGCGUGCGCAGACGGUUCGUUGUGUCGGCGGUGAAAGCCCCGGGCUCAACCUGGGAAUGGCCGUUGAAACUGGCGAACUGGAGUGUGGCAGAGGGGGGUGGAAUUCCGCGUGUAGCAGUGAAAUGCGUAGAGAUGCGGAGGAACACCGAUGGCGAAGGCAGCCCCCCUGGGCUGACACUGACGCUCAGGCACGAAAGCGUGGGGAGCAAACAGG
rnacentral:rRNA from 1 species